GAUGAACGCUAGCGGCAGGCCUAACACAUGCAAGUCGAGGGAGAAGCCCUUUCGGGGGCAGAAACCGGCGCACGGGUGCGUAACGCGUAUGCAACCUACCUUUCACAGGGGGAUAGCCCGAAGAAAUUUGGAUUAAUACCCCAUAAUAUUAUUGGAUGGCAUCAUUUGAUAAUUAAAACUGCGGUGGUGAAAGAUGGGCAUGCGUCCUAUUAGCUAGUUGGAGUGGUAACGGCACCCCAAGGCUACGAUAGGUAGGGGUCCUGAGAGGGAGAUCCCCCACACUGGUACUGAGACAGGGACCAGACUCCUACGGGAGGCAGCAGUGAGGAAUAUUGGUCAAUGGUCGGAAGACUGAACCAGCCAUGCCGCGUGCAGGAAGAAUGCCUUAUGGGUGGUAAACUGCUUUUAUAUGGGAAGAAUAAGGCGUACGUGUACGUUGAUGACGGUACCAUAUGAAUAAGCAUCGGCUAACUCCGUG
rnacentral:rRNA from 1 species